AGAUAGAGCCCUCCCAUCAUUUGCCUUUCGUGUCGCAUGCCAGGCACCAUGACUCCACUGCUUGAACGCCGCUGCCUCCAGCUCACGUAGUUGCUUGUUUGAGGUGGGAUCCAUCUUUCACUCGCAAGCUCAGCUGUCCUUCUACGUGUUUGGUGGCUCAAGACCAUGUGUUUGCGACCCCUUCGCCUGCGCACCACGCGCUUGUUCGCCUGCUGCAGGUAAUGGCCGGCACGAGGCACUGCUUCAUGGUUCGACAUGUGGGUUGCACCACGAACACGACGUGCUGUGCGGCUUUGCAACGCAACGUGCACAAGAUAUCCUUUUCCGUUGGUACGUGGACAGCUGUUCACGGGCUGGGGACUGGACGCGGUGGUGCCAGCGUGUUUGUGUAGCCAGGGAGUUGGUGGAUGGGCAAGGGCAAGGAAAGGGAUGAAACCAUGAAUCCGCCCUCCGCAUUCCGCGUGCACACUUGGACGAGAUUCCACAAAACAUUGGCCGAUUCCUACUACGGGCCUGAUGCGUGCGCACGUAUGCACGAAACGCAUGCACGCGCACAGGUGCGGGAUGUUUGAAGCCGGUCACGAGUCAGGUGGAGAUCAACGGCCGCAAGUGGUCCAGCUGGUCCACCGUGUUCACGAAGCGGGGAACGGAUACAAACGGUACGCAAGCGCCCCUAAUUCCGGGAUGUAACAGGACAAGGUUCCUUACCUAUGGCUAGCGUAUGUCCAUAUGGACCUAGGGCUGGGUAGGUCGUGGAGAAUAUUCCGCGACGCAUUUCUGGACCACUCCGCAAGGGGACCAAGUACCCACGCACUUCCGUCUCCCGUCUUGCAGGUACGGUAGUGUUCGGAUACGAUGUCCGUAUCUACGACAUGCAAUUCAAUGCCACCACGUUUCCCGGCACUUCCAUCUGCAUGACAACCAAGGAGCCCUGCGCCAGCAUCCAGCAGCUGUGCGGCACCACGACAGGAACGUGCAAGUGAGUACGGAGAGAGACUUGCACGGGUCGAGCUCGCCUAGCUGGGGACGGCCCGGUCCUGGUUUGUGCUGGUGCGUGACACCGUUGUGCACCUGCUUACCUGUUUGCUCGCAGAUACGCUGUAUUUGACAGCCAUAACGCCAGUCGAUGCUGCCCAGUCUGUACGGUGGCACCGCUCCCACCACCGGCGCCGCUGUCGCCCGAGCCACCGUCACCGAUGGUGCCGCCCCCUCCCCCUCCACCUCCCCCUCCACCUCCCCCGCCCCCUCCCCCUCCAUCUCCCCCGACCCCUCCACCUCCACCUCCCCCACCCCCACCCCCGCCGACACCCAUCUGUCGCACCUGCGCUGUCAUUACGAUUCAGCCCCCAUCCAACAUCGCCAGGCCUGUCAACACCUUCUUCUCCAGCCCCGAGAACUGCAGUCGGACAUCAAGCAUCAUUAUUUCAAACUUCACCGCCGCGCUAGAGGCCGCUGGCGUCUCAAUCCGGCAACCGUUUACCUGGAAUUGCACCGGAAACUACGAGCCCGGCCAGUCAAUUCUGCCGCGGCUCUUCGUGUGCGGCUUAUACGAUGUUCCAGCCAGCCGCACUGUCUUGGAGGAGGCCCUGCGCAACGUGACGGCGAGCUGGGUUGCAUUUGUAAUAGGCACACCCGUGGUUCUCGGACAGAAGGACCGUGCUGAAUGCCCUGUGGGUCUUGAGGGAUACGCUUUCGAAGGCGCGUUGGAUUCGGGGAUUAACGCUGACCCCCGGUGCCCCUAUGGUUCCUCGGUAAUAAACUGUACCGAACGGUAUGCGCCUUUUCCCCCGUCGCCAUUGCCACCGCUACCGCCGCCAUCGCCGGUGCCUGUGAAGGUGGGUUGCGCAGCAGCACGGCUAGCCUAGCUAUACUUAACGCGCCUGAUGACCAUAGGCGUUCCCUAUGAUUGGCAUCGUGAUUGAGCAUGAUAUGCAUGGCACGCAAGCAGGCCUUAGCACUGCGUCCUUGAUUCAUGCACAACGCCAAAACCAACCGACAGCUGUCCUCAGAGCAUCUUCAUGCCGCCACGCCAGAACCCUUUGAGCUCAUUUGGUCUUCAUACCCGCGCCAUGCCCGUGUCUGUUUUGGACUGCAGACGCACAACUGCUCCCAGGCCACCAAAAAUGUGCCUUAUUACCUCGACAAGAUCGAGACAUACAACACCACGGACAGGAGCGGGCAACGGCUGGUCGCUAUGUGUACAACGAUUCAAGAGAUGGACUGCAAUGACGACGCCAAAUGUUGCGGCAUGGAUGCGGCCAAGGUGAGUGAGUGAGUGAGUGGGUCUGGCAGGACGCGUACUGGUACAGCUACCACCGAUAAAGAUAGCUUUUCACGAACUGGCUGGAGAUGUAGGUCAG
rnacentral:lncRNA from 1 species